ACGGCAGCGCGGGGCAACCUGGCGGCGAGUGGCGAACGGGUGAGUAAUAUAUCGGAACGUACCCAAGAGUGGGGGAUAACGUAGCGAAAGUUACGCUAAUACCGCAUACGAUCUAAGGAUGAAAGCAGGGGAUCUUCGGACCUUGUGCUCCUGGAGCGGCCGAUAUCUGAUUAGCUAGUUGGUGAGGUAAAGGCUCACCAAGGCGACGAUCAGUAGCUGGUCUGAGAGGACGACCAGCCACACUGGAACUGAGACACGGUCCAGACUCCUACGGGAGGCAGCAGUGGGGAAUUUUGGACAAUGGGCGAAAGCCUGAUCCAGCAAUGCCGCGUGAGUGAAGAAAGCCUUCGGGUUGUAAAGCUCUUUUGUCAGGGAAGAAACGGGAGUGGCUAAUAUCCAUUCCUAAUGACGGUACCUGAAGAAUAAGCACCGGCUAACUACGUGCCAGCAGCCGCGGUAAUACGUAGGGUGCAAGCGUUAAUCGGAAUUACUGGGCGUAAAGCGUGCGCAGGCGGUUUUGUAAGUCUGUCGUGAAAUCCCCGGGCUCAACCUGGGAAUUGCGAUGGAGACUGCAAGGCUAGAAUCUGGCAGAGGGGGAUAGAAUUCCACGUGUAGCAGUGAAAUGCGUAGAGAUGUGGAGGAACACCGAUGGCGAAGGCAGCCCCCUGGGUCAAGAUUGACGCUCAUGCACGAAAGCGUGGGGAGCAAACAGGAUUAGAUACCCUGGUAGUCCACGCCCUAAACGAUGUCUACUAGUUGUCGGGUUUUAAUUAACUUGGUAACGCAGCUAACGCGUGAAGUAGACCGCCUGGGGAGUACGGUCGCAAGAUUAAAACUCAAAGGAAUUUGACGGGGACCCGCACAAAGCCGUGGGAUGAUGUGGAUUA
rnacentral:rRNA from 1 species